CAUGCAAGUCGAACGGAGUUAUACGCUGAAAAUGAGAGAAGCUUGCUUCAGGAGUUUUCUUGUGUAACUUAGUGGCGGACGGGUGAGUAAUGUGUGAGCAACCUGCCUUUCAGAGGGGGAUAACACAGUGAAAACUGUGCUAAUACCGCAUGAUAUGUAAUGUUCGCAUGAACGAUACAUCAAAGGAGCAAUCCGCUGAAAGAUGGGCUCACAUCUGAUUAGAUAGUUGGUGAGGUAACGGCUCACCAAGUCGACGAUCAGUAGCCGGACUGAGAGGUUGAACGGCCACAUUGGAACUGAGAUACGGUCCAGACUCCUACGGGAGGCAGCAGUGGGGAAUAUUGGGCAAUGGGCGAAAGCCUGACCCAGCAACGCCGCGUGAAGGAAGAAGGUCUUCGGAUUGUAAACUUUUGUCUUAUGGGACGAUAAUGACGGUACCAUGGGAGGAAGCCACGACUAACUACGUGCCAGCAGUCGCGGUAAUACGUAGGUGGCAAGCGUUAUCCGGAAUUAUUGGGUGUAAAGGGUGCGUAGGCGGGAUGUAAAGUCAGAUGUGAAAUACCGCAGCUUAACUGCGGAGCUGCAUUUGAAACUUACGUUCUUGAGUGAAGUAGAGGUAAGCGGAAUUCCUAGUGUAGCGGUGAAAUGCGUAGAUAUUAGGAGGAACACCGGUGGCGAAGGCGGCUUACUGGGCUUAUACUGACGCUGAGGCACGAAAGUGUGGGGAGCAAACAGGAUUAGAUACCCUGG
rnacentral:rRNA from 1 species